GGAUGCCUUGGCACUAGGAGCCGAUGAAGGACGGGACUAACACCGAUAUGCUUUGGGGAGCUGUACGUAAGCUAUGAUCCAGAGAUUUCCGAAUGGGGGAACCCAGCAUCUUUAAUAGGAUGUUACGAUUGUGUGAAUACAUAGCACAUUCGAGGUAGACGCAGAGAACUGAAACAUCUAAGUACCUGCAGGAAGAGAAAGAAAAUUCGAUUCCCUGAGUAGCGGCGAGCGAAACGGGAAAAGCCCAAACCAACAAGCUUGCUUGUUGGGGUUGUAGGACUCCAAUAUGGUCGUUCUUUCAGAUAGUCGAAUGACUUGGAAAAGUCAGUCAAAGAGGGUAAAAACCCCGUAGACGAAAUGUGGAAGACACCUAGGAGGAUCCUGAGUACGGCGGAACACGAGAAAUUCCGUCGGAAUCCGGGAGGACCAUCUCCCAAGGCUAAAUACUCCCUAGUGACCGAUAGUGAACCAGUACCGUGAGGGAAAGGUGAAAAGCACCCCGGAAGGGGAGUGAAAUAGAACCUGAAACCGUGUGCCUACAACAAGUCAAAGCCCGUUAAUGGGUGAUGGCGUGCCUUUUGUAGAAUGAACCGGCGAGUUACGAUUGCAUGCGAGGUUAAGUUGAAGAGACGGAGCCGCAGCGAAAGCGAGUCUGAAUAGGGCGUUUGAGUAUGUAGUCGUAGACCCGAAACCAUGUGAUCUACCCAUGUCCAGGUUGAAGGUGCGGUAAAACGCACUGGAGGACCGAACCCACGUACGUUGAAAAGUGCGGGGAUGAGGUGUGGGUAGCGGAGAAAUUCCAAACGAACUUGGAGAUAGCUGGUUCUCUCCGAAAUAGCUUUAGGGCUAGCCUCGGAAUUGAGAAUGAUGGAGGUAGAGCACUGUUUGGACUAGGGGCCCAUCUCGGGUUACCGAAUUCAGAUAAACUCCGAAUGCCAUUCAUUCAUAUCCGGGAGUCAGACUGUGAGUGAUAAGAUCCAUAGUCGAAAGGGAAACAGCCCAGACCACCAGCUAAGGUCCCAAAAUAUAUGUUAAGUGGAAAAGGAUGUGGGGUUGCACAGACAACUAGGAUGUUGGCUUAGAAGCAGCCACCAUUUAAAGAGUGCGUAAUAGCUCACUAGUCGAGUGACCCUGCGCCGAAAAUGUACCGGGGCUAAACAUAUUACCGAAGCUGUGGAGUACACCUUUAGGUGUAUUGGUAGGAGAGCGUUCUAAGGGCGUCGAAGGCAGAUCGUGAGGACUGCUGGAGCGCUUAGAAGUGAGAAUGCCGGUAUGAGUAGCGAAAGACAGGUGAGAAUCCUGUCCACCGAAUGACUAAGGUUUCCUGGGGAAGGCUCGUCCGCCCAGGGUUAGUCGGGACCUAAGCCGAGGCCGAUAGGCGUAGGCGAUGGAUAACAGGUUGAUAUUCCUGUACCCGUUGUUUUUGUUUGAGCAAUGGAGGGACGCAGGAGGCUAAGGAAUGCAGACGAUCGGAAAUGUCUGUCCAAGCAGUAAGUCUGAAGAGGAGUCAAAUGCUUCUUUUCUUAAGGACAAGCUGUGAUGGGGAGGGAAAUAAUAGUACCGAAGUUCCUGAUGUCACACUGCCGAGAAAAGCUUCUAGUGAGAAAACAGCGGCCCGUACCGCAAACCGACACAGGUAGUCGAGGAGAGAAUCCUAAGGUGAGCGAGAGAACUCUCGUUAAGGAACUCGGCAAAAUGACCCCGUAACUUCGGGAGAAGGGGUGCUGAUCAUACGAUCAGCCGCAGUGAAUAGGCCCAAGCGACUGUUUAUCAAAAACACAGGUCUCUGCAAAAUCGUAAGAUGAAGUAUAGGGGCUGACGCCUGCCCGGUGCUGGAAGGUUAAGAGGAGUGCUUAGCGCAAGCGAAGGUACGAAUUGAAGCCCCAGUAAACGGCGGCCGUAACUAUAACGGUCCUAAGGUAGCGAAAUUCCUUGUCGGGU
rnacentral:rRNA from 1 species